ensembl:lncRNA
AUGCAGGCAGCCAGCAAGAAAAGAGAAUUUUUCCUCCACCUUCUACAUCUACUCACCCAUCCCCCCCACUUUUUUUUUUUUUUUUUUUUUUUUGGUACUAGAAAUAUUUCAGGCACAAUUAAAAAGGCGUUAUUAGCAUUUAAUUGGUUUGGAGUCCUCACUGUGAUGUUGAGCCCUCGUGCUGAUGUCAUCCCAGUUGUCAUGGUUACAGGUGAACAAGCUGCUGGAAGUGCAAAAUCAGCGCCGGGCUCCAAGGGGAAGGGAGGAUGGAGGGGGGAACCUGGGGAGGAACCUGGUGCUGGAAGUGAGCGAGCAGAAACAGCUGCCAUCGCCAGUACAAGGCCAAGCUCAACCACAGGAACCACCAUCAGGAGCCAUCACAGGAGGCCACUGUGCUCCUCCUGCAGCACCACGUCUCCUGAAGGGGCAGUUCACCAAAACAAACGCGGAACCCUCCUGGAAGAAGAUAACCCAGCUAGGCCUGUUCGUUUAAGGGCUCACACCUAACCUAAGCUGAGGCCAGACUUUGGUUGAAAGCACCAUGUGUUGCACAAAGGCAAGGGCAUCGCUCAGUCUGGGCAGUGGCAAAGCCCAAGCAGACCUCACAGCAACAAGUCAGAGCAUGGCCUUCACUUAGCAGGGACCCGGUGCUUGAAAUCCACUGCCUUUCCCAGCCUGCUCAGCAGCAUCUGUCUGCGGGGAGCAGAGAAGCAUCUGUGUUUGCCUGAGGCUGCAGAUCUGGCAAGUCCCCACCAGUGCCUGACUGUAGCCACUCUCCUCCGAAACUAGGUCUUCAAAGCCAGUAAGAAGGUGCCAAUAAGGCGUGUGACCUUGAACUGCCUUACUGGGGGCGUUGUGGCCAAAGGAAGUGAAGAGGCAAAGUUUGGCUUCCAUACAUAGAAUUUGCUUCACUAUCUUUUGAUUCUUUUUUUUUUUUUUUCAUGUCUUUUUCUUUUAAAUUUAAAACACAGAGACAUUUUUUUCCCCAAACUAUAAACAACACUGAGCUUUUCAAAUUCUGCCUGUCAUCCAGUGUAUGGAGUGCAAAAACCUGUGAAUACGUCUAUUCCAAACCAUAUAUUUAAAACAUAUUGCCAAUUGAAGUCACAUACAUACCAAAAAAUGUUUUAUGCUCUAUUGUCACAAACAACGUUUACAAUCUACUAGAAAUGAAUGGGAUAAGAAGAAACAAAAUACAUUUCUAUACUUCAGUGAGAAUUUGAUGGACACGCUGGGUGGGAUUUGUCUCAUAUCACUUUGAAUCAUAGAACAUCCUGAGGGGGAAGGGACACACAAGGACCAUUGAGCCCAAUUCCUUAAGGUGUCUACAGCUGAGCCAGUAGUCACCAUGUCUCUCUGUAGGCUCUUUGCAGUCAGAAGAGAGGUAGAAACAGACGCAUUUAGGGAGCAGCUCACAUGCUCUGCUUGAACAUCUAUUUUAGGAUGCAAUGAAUACACUGGGUGUAGCGUCUGGAUUCCACUGACUGCAGGUGGUGUCAAGGUGGAGUAGAUGGAGGCCUGGGCUGGAUGUCUGUAGGAUGACUCCCAUUCUUUAUAUGUGGUUUCAUUGCUUCUCUAUCUGGGCAGUUUUCCACUCAUUUUCUUUUUGGUGUGAUCUUGCAACAAAUACUUAUGGAAGAAAAAAUAAUAUUGAAAAAGAAGGUGUUAGUACUAUAAACAUGGUUGGGAAAGCACAGUGGCAGGAACCUUUAAUACACUGAAAACAGAUAACAUUGAUAUCAUGAUCAUUCCUUUGCAGUUAUGUUGUCAAACCUCUUAAGCUUUGGCUUUUUUUUAGUUUAUUAUGUGUUGUGAGAAUAUCUGCAGAUGACCGGCACAUUAUCCAUCUAAUCUAUGGUGUCUCCUUCUCUCUUUAUUUUUUCAAAAUGUAAAUAAGAAAAGCUAAUAUAAGAGAAUAAAUUUAACUUUAUUGGUGUGUAUAUAUUUGUA